AUUGAACGCUGGCGGCAGGCCUAACACAUGCAAGUCGAACGAGUGGCGGACGGGUGAGUAAUGUCUGGGAAACUGCCCGAUGGAGGGGGAUAACUACUGGAAACGGUAGCUAAUACCGCAUACCAUCGGAUGUGCCCAGAUGGGAUUAGCUAGUAGGGGGGGUAAAGGCUCACCUAGGCGACGAUCCCUAGCUGGUCUGAGAGGAUGACGAGGCAAACUGGAACGGAGACACGGUCCAGACGCGUAGGGGAGGCAGCAGGGGGGAAUAUUGCAAAAGGGGCGCAAGCAUGAUGCAGCCAUGCCGCGUGUAUGAAGAAGGCCUUCGGGUUGUAAAGUACUUUCAGCGGGGAGGCGGUACCCGCAGAAGAAGCACCGGCUAACUCCGUGCCAGCAGCCGCGGUAAUAC
rnacentral:rRNA from 1 species